rnacentral:rRNA from 1 species
AACGCGAAGAACCUUACCAGCCCUUGACAUGGGACGUAUGGGAUUCGGAGACGGAUCUCUUCAGUUCGGCUGGCGUCCACACAGGUGCUGCAUGGCUGUCGUCAGCUCGUGUCGUGAGAUGUUGGGUUAAGUCCCGCAACGAGCGCAACCCUCAUCUUCAGUUGCCAACGGGUAGAGCUGGGCACUCUGGAGAAACUGCCGGUGAUAAGCCGCGAGGAAGGUGGGGAUGACGUCAAGUCCUCAUGGCCCUUACGGGCUGGGCUACACACGUGCUACAAUGGCGGUGACAAUGGGAUGCGAAGGCGCAAGUCCUAGCAAAUCUCAAAAAGCCGUCUCAGUUCGGAUUGGGCUCUGCAACUCGAGCCCAUGAAGUUGGAAUCGCUAGUAAUCGUGGAUCAGCACGCCACGGUGAAUACGUUCCCGGGCCUUGUACACACCGACUGUAC